rnacentral:misc_RNA from 1 species
GGUUAGAGCGCGCGCUUGAUAAGCGUGAGGUCGGAAGUUCAAGUCUUCCCAGGCCCACCACACUCAUCGAGUGAGCAUUCGUCUUCUGGUUACGGGGCCAUAGCUCAGCUGGGAGAGCGCGUGCUUUGCAAGCAUGAGGUCGUCGGUUCGAUCCCGUCUGGCUCCACCAGAUGGUUUGAUCACCGACUACUCGUACCGUCGUCCGCGAAACAUCACUUCGCACUUACUAGUCCGGAUGGACAGUAAGCUGCGUGAUUUCUGACAUCGUAAAGAGGAGAUCGAUCCGAGUUGGAUCGGGCAACAAGUAAUUGUUGCGCGAUACUUCAUUAUCUCCGGAUCAUUUCGGCGCUCGUGCGUCUUCCAGGGUAGCUCACAAGGCUGCGUCUGAAGGACACGCGAGUUGUAAAUGAUCCUUUUAGCGAAGCUUGACCGCCUCGCUAUCGGAACGAUCUUACGAAGCAAGCUGGUCUUUCUAAUCAUUGUCCGGCUGCAGAUAGCGUUCAUCGAGGGCGCGUGCCUUAGAGACUUAGGUUUCUUGGCAAUUCUGCAGACAACAUUCUGCCGAGUGUGUGGACAUUGAUAAUGAGAGCAAUCAAGUGCCUUAAGGGUGUUCGGUGGAUGCCUUGGCGCUGAGAGGCGAUGAAGGACGUGCUACGCUGCGAUAAGCCGUGGGGAGCUGCGAAGAAGCUUUGAUCCAUGGAUUUCC